UAGCAAUGUCAAAUUCUCGUUCACGAUCUCACGAAAGCCGUAAAUACAUAGACAUGUUAAAGUUUUUAUGUUUUUUACUAUCUGUAUUUGAUAUUACUCAUGUUAGUCGUUCUGAACGAGUCGAAAGGAGAAGUCGUUGUUUAAAUAUUUUGCAGUAGAUCGGUGAAGAAAUAUUCAUUAAAUAACCAUUUACCAUCAUACCUUUAACAAUUGGACUUUACCAUAUCCAGUUAUUUGAAUAACCACUACAAAAAGGGGAUGUCUCAUCAAAAUUCCUUACCAUACGCUGUUACCGUUCAAUUUUAUCGAUGGAGUUGGACAUUUCAUCUCAUUGAACAAAUCUAGUGCAGAAUGGGCCAUUUCAUACACGUAAAGGUUUAAUUUGAAAACAAGGAAAUCAAUAGCAUCCUAAAGACCAAGGAUGGACGGACUUGAAUUAGACAAGGAUGUAGCUGGAUUUUAUUAAGGAAUGGAUAUGAAAACUACACUGAAAAUAAGACGAGGGAUUAACCAAAUGAUUGCCCAACAAACUUCCAUUGCCCAUUUCUACAGAUUGGUCAACAAAUCAGCUACUGAAAGAAGCAAUGUCUACAAUAGUACCUAUUGUUUUCCCUGUACUUAAUUUUCGAUUUACUGUUGGCAUCUUCACCUUACAUGCGGCUGAUUUUCGAUGGAUUAGUGUGAGCAACUGGAAGUUAUUUGGACCCCACUGAAACAGCAAAUCAUCUGCAUUGAAUCUUUCUUCCUGGUUACGGCUUUUUCUCGCACUUGCAAAUUUUGAAGAAUUACAUUCUACAGUUAUUUAAGAUUGCCCAACAAAUGCGAGAAAACUGAAAUUAAUUUUGAUGCUGCCAAUGUCGCCUACAAUGGUAUCAUAUUUGCUGAAUUUGGUUUGCUGUUGUCAUCUUCACAUUGCUUCAUCAGGCAGUUAAUUUUGGACCAAUGAAAGAAAACACCUGGAAAUUUAUUUGGAAACCACUAACAUCACGUCACUUUGGCCUUGCUCUGCACUCCCGUAAGAUUUUGGAGCUAUGCAUUCUACAGUUAAUUAAGAUCGACGGUGGAGAAGACAAAGAAGAUCCCGUAGUUAGAAUAUUUUUUGCCCUAUUAUAAUCAAGCUCUUAUUUUGCAUGUUUUUUAUUUUUAGUUUGCUUAUUUUUUUGUAGUUUAUUUUAUUUGAGUCAAUUUUAAUUU